UGUGUGUGUGUGUGUGUGUGUGUCAGUGAGUAUCUCUUCCUGUGAGUAUUUUUAGAUUGUCAAAAGGAUGUGUUUAUAUAUAAGUGUAGGCACAGGUGUGUGUGUAUUUCUGGAAUGUGGUGAGGAAUAAGUUCAUGUGAGGAUACUUGUGUGUUUGUUAAUAGGCCUAACAAAAAAGUGAUCUGCCUAUAAUGCUUUUAAAUGUGAAUAAUUCAUAUUUGUGCUGUGUUGUCUACAUAAUAAUUAAGGAAAUGAGGAUUCAGUCUGUUUGUAAUGAUGAACAUGUUUCUGACUGCUCUGCUCUUCUUUAACAGGGAGUCUCAUCUCUGAAGAACUGCAUUCUGGGUAUGAAGAUGCUGAUGAGUUUCUCUCAGGUUCGAGAGAUGAAGCACACAUUCACUCCACAUUCCACUCAAAAAAGACCCCUUUUUAAUGAAUUCACAUAAAUUAUUAAAUAAAUGAGUGAACUAAUUAUUUUACAUAUUUGAUUAAUGACCCAAUACUAUUAAAAUACUGCUGUUUACUUGUAUAUUAACAGUUUUCUCUCCUUUUUUAGCAAAAGAGUUCAAGACUGCAUCAGAAGAGAUGGUGAAGGAAAUCACACCGGGAUACUAUGAUGAUGUCAUCACUGAUGGACUGAAACCAGAUCGUGAGACAGAGAGAGUUCAGGAGGAGUAUGAUGAUGUCAUGAGUGUCAGUGAAGAUGUGAGAAACCUGUUGGGUAAAUUACUGUAACCCUUUUGUUCUCAUUAUAUUAACAUCUUUUUUA
ensembl:lncRNA